GCAUUGGUGGUUCAGUGGCAGAAUUCUUACCUUCCAUGCUGGAGAUCCAGGUUCGACUCUGGCCAAUGCA
rnacentral:tRNA from 1 species